rnacentral:rRNA from 1 species
AGAGGAAGUAAAAGUCGUAACAAGGUCUCCGUUGGUGAACCAGCGGAGGGAUCAUUACUGAGUUUACGCUCUACAACCCUUUGUGAACAUACCUAUAACUGUUGCUUCGGCGGGUAGGGUCUCCGCGACCCUCCCGGCCUCCCGCCUCCGGGCGGGUCGGCGCCCGCCGGAGGAUAACCAAACUCUGAUUUAACGACGUUUCUUCUGAGUGGUACAAGCAAAUAAUCAAAACUUUUAACAACGGAUCUCUUGGUUCUGGCAUCGAUGAAGAACGCAGCGAAAUGCGAUAAGUAAUGUGAAUUGCAGAAUUCAGUGAAUCAUCGAAUCUUUGAACGCACAUUGCGCCCGCCAGCAUUCUGGCGGGCAUGCCUGUUCGAGCGUCAUUUCAACCCUCAAGCUCUGCUUGGUGUUGGGGCCCUACAGCCGAUGUAGGCCCUCAAAGGUAGUGGCGGACCCUCCCGGAGCCUCCUUUGCGUAGUAACUUUACGUCUCGCACUGGGAUCCGGAGGGACUCUUGCCGUAAAACCCCCCAAUUUUCCAAAGGUUGACCUCGGAUCAGGUAGGAAUACCCGCUGAACUUAAGCAUAUCA